CAGCAGGCGCGAAAACUUUACAAUGCGGGAAACCGUGAUAAGGGGACACCGAGUGCCAGCAUCAUAUGCUGGCUGUCCGGGUGUGUAAAAUACACCCGUUAGCAAGGGCCGGGCAAGACCGGUGCCAGCCGCCGCGGUAACACCGGCGGCCCGAGUGGUGAUCGUGAUUAUUGGGUCUAAAGGGUCCGUAGCCGGUUUGGUCAGUCCUCCGGGAAAUCUGACGGCUCAACCGUUAGGCUUUCGGGGGAUACUGCCAGGCUUGGAACCGGGAGAGGUAAGAGGUGCUACAGGGGUAGGAGUGAAAUCUUGUAAUCCCUGUGAGACCACCUGUGGCGAAGGCGUCUUACCAGAACGGGUUCGACGGUGAGGGACGAAAGCUGGGGGCACGAACCGGAUUAGAUACCCGGGUAGUCCCAGCCGUAAACGAUGCUCGCUAGGUGUCAGGCAUGGCGCGACCGUGUCUGGUGCCGCAGGGAAGCCGUGAAGCGAGCCACCUGGGAAGUACGGCCGCAAGGCUGAAACUUAAAGGAAUUGGCGGGGGAGCC
rnacentral:rRNA from 1 species